rnacentral:other from 1 species
AUUUACCUGCCAUGUAUGUAAAUUCGGCUCAGUUUUGAUCCAACAUAUUUACAUCGGGAAUCCGAGUUUGUCUAACUAGUAAAUGCCUCGAUUAGUAAUGUGGACUUACGAACUGGAUAGCGGGAUACCCACCUUCGAGAGAGGGUUCCAAAACCACCGAAAUACGGCAUGGCGGGUAUAAU